GGUGGUAGCCCAGUGGUAGAGCGUGUGCUUAGCGAGCACAAGGUCCUGGGUUCAGUCCCCAGUGCCUCCA
rnacentral:tRNA from 1 species